UACGGAAGGGGGCUAGCGUUGUUCGGAAUUACUGGGCGUAAAGGGCGCGUAGGCGGUACUUCAAGUCAGGCCGUGAAAGCCCCGGGCUCAACCUGGGAACCGCGCUUGAGACUGGAGAACUAGAGUUCGGGAGAGGAUGGUGGAAUUCCCAGUGUAGAGGUGAAAUUCGUAGAUAUUGGGAAGAACACCGGUGGCGAAGGCGGCCUUCUGGACAGUGACUGACGCUGAGACGCGAAAGCGUGGGGAGCAAACAGG
rnacentral:rRNA from 1 species